rnacentral:rRNA from 1 species
GUACCUUGUUGCUUCGGCGGGCCCGCCUCACGGCCGCCGGGGGGCAUCCGCCCCCGGGCCCGCGCCCGCCGAAGACACACAAACGAACUCUUGUCUGAAGAUUGCAGUCUGAGUACUUGACUAAAUCAGUUAAAACUUUCAACAACGGAUCUCUUGGUUCCGGCAUCGAUGAAGAACGCAGCGAAAUGCGAUAAGUAAUGUGAAUUGCAGAAUUCAGUGAAUCAUCGAGUCUUUGAACGCACAUUGCGCCCCCUGGUAUUCCGGGGGGCAUGCCUGUCCGAGCGUCAUUGCUGCCCUCAAGCACGGCUUGUGUGUUGGGCUCUCGCCCCCCGCUUCCGGGGGGCGGGCCCGAAAGGCAGCGGCGGCACCGCGUCCGGUCCUCGAGCGUAUGGGGCUUCGUCACCCGCUCUGUAGGCCCGGCCGGCGCCCGCCGGCGAACACCAUCAAUCUUAACCAGGUUGACCUCGGAUCAGGUAGGGAUACCCGCUGAACUUAAGC